rnacentral:tRNA from 1 species
UAAAACCUAUAGAACUUAUCUACAUCUUCUGAAUGCAACCCAGACAUUUUAAUUAAACUAAGGCUUC